UAAUUUUGGACUAAUAAAGAUCUUGUUGUAGGAGACGCGGUAAAGGUAGGUAGAUGAUAUAAAGACACUGAAAAGAGAUCUGAUAAAGAGCUUUGCCUUCAGCUGUUUAUUUUUGUUCCACCUAGUGAAAUGAUUUAUGUAGCACAAAACUUCAUCGAAACGUGACGUUUCCGUCUAAUCUUUCAAGCUUGGAAGCAACAUAAGUUUAUUUCAUUCAUCUUUUGCUCGAAUCCGACAUCAUGUUUCUCUUCACAAAUUACUGUAUUCGAAAAGGGUUGUGCUCCCAGAAUUUGUAGGCUUGCUAUGUUUUCAUCAAAUACACAAUCACAUUUACUAUAAAACUCUUGCCAUGGUUAUUUGCAAGUCCCCAAAGCCCACUUUUCAGUCUAUGCAGGGUAGCAAGAAGAUUUUUCAAAUUCCUGUACUAACCAGUGGCCAACACUGUGAGUUCCUGUGGUCCUAACUUUCUGCAUUUAUGCUACUUUAGUUUAGGUAGAAAAAGCAGACACUGGUUGAGAGCUUUGUACAUGGUUUCAAUCAACAGUAAAAAGAGUCAAAGUCAUCUAGCAUUCAUUUAUGUUGUAAUUUUCCUUCAAACCACAUGAGAGAGAAUCUGCUUUCUGUUGGUUUUGU